AAAAAAUCUCAUAUAAUAUAAUCCCAAAAUAGUUUAGAUCCAUUUGUGCAUCAAUCUGAGAUUGGCUUCAUUAUUACAGAUGAGAAAAACAAAGUAUCCUUACCUUUAUCAAAUUGUAUUAUAUUGUUGUGUUUGGUAAAGAAUGUUUGGUGUGUAUUUGUACCAUAUUAAUAUCUGUCCAUUGGAGUUACAGAAGUGAGAGUGCAAUUUGCAUAUCUAAAAGGAAUUAAAAAGUUGUUCAAACUUUUCUCAUUCAUUCAAUGAUUCAUAAUAUUUUUUUGCUUUCUUUUAUCUGUCAUCACUGUCUCUUCUUUAUCUUUGCCACCACACUGUCAUCAUCUUCUCUUCAUCUUCACAUUUCCAAAAACUGUUUCUUUCUUAUUCAUCUGCCUUUUUCCAUCUUUACUCUUCUCUUUAACUUCAAGGGGAGCAUUCCCUUUCUUCUGUUUUUCUUUCGCCAUUUUCUCACUACUUGGUUUUUUUUAUCUCCUUUUGCAGAUUCAAGGUUUUGGCUGUGGAUUGAACGUUUAGGUCGCUAAUCAAAGGUCCAAAUGAUGUUCUUUCUUCGUUAGCCUGCAUUUUUUUUUGCUAUUUUUCUUCAUUUUUUUGGUUGAGUGUGAUGAGUUUUUUUUGCUUUUUGUUGGUUUUCUUCAUUUUACGUUUUCAUCUGUGUGCAUUCACACUUUGUUUCUGAGCUAAAGAUGUGAUUUUUGAGGUUUUUCUGGUGUUGGGUUCUCGUUUUUCUGGGAUUUGUUUGCUGAAUCAGAUUCAAGAUCUUUAUUUUUUGUUUUUUUUUUUGUUAAAUGUGUUGCUUUUCGUAUUAGAUUUCUUUUUUCUUUUGCCUCAACGUGUCUCUGGUUUUUUUUUUUUUAUAUUUAAACAAGUCAUUUUUUAAUUGCUCUCUCAAAAUUGUCAUAUUAUUGAGAACUAGAAACAAAAAAUCCAAGUUAAGCUUGUUGAAUUUGACUCCAUUGGAUUUGAAUUUUUUUUUAAGUUAACAAAAUUCAUUUAAAAAAAUAAAUUUACAUAAAGUGAGAUGAAAGAACAUAGAAUAGAGAUGAUGGGACUUGGAAAAAACUUAAAAGCUUCAAGUAGAAAUGAAGCUUAUGCUCAUUUAUGUCAAUUUCUUUUGUGUGAAGUACUAUUAAGUAUGGUUCUCCUCAUUCAAGUUAAAUUAUAUUUAUGAAGC
rnacentral:lncRNA from 1 species